rnacentral:rRNA from 1 species
AUUGAACGCUAGCGGGAUGCUUUACACAUGCAAGUCGAACGGCAGCGCGGACUUCGGUCUGGCGGCGAGUGGCGAACGGGUGAGUAAUGUAUCGGAACGUGCCCAGUAGCGGGGGAUAACUACGCGAAAGCGUAGCUAAUACCGCAUACGCCCUACGGGGGAAAGCAGGGGAUCGUAAGACCUUGCACUAUUGGAGCGGCCGAUAUCGGAUUAGCUAGUUGGGGAGGUAACGGCUCACCAAGGCGACGAUCCGUAGCUGGUUUGAGAGGACGACCAGCCACACUGGAACUGAGACACGGCCCAGACUCCUACGGGAGGCAGCAGUGGGGAAUUUUGGACAAUGGGGGCAACCCUGAUCCAGCCAUCCCGCGUGUGUGAUGAAGGCCUUCGGGUUGUAAAGCACUUUUGGCAGGAAAGAAACGUCGCGGGCUAAUACCCCGUGGAACUGACGGUACCUGCAGAAUAAGCACCGGCUAACUACGUG